rnacentral:tRNA from 1 species
GGAUAUAGCUCAGGGGUCAGAAUGUUGGACUCGUAAUUUGAAGGCCCAGGUUCGAAUCCUGUACUUUUAACU